rnacentral:misc_RNA from 1 species
GUUAUAAGAAGCCAAAAGAUAAAUCUGUUUUUUGGACGAGACCUCUAAAGAUGCCACUUUCUAAUGAAUGUCAAUGCUGCCUUUGGUGGUAAAAGUUAACUAUACAAGCUCAAAAGGCAAUUGAGGAAUUUGCAAUUCUACCUGUUCCCUUAUGUGCAUGCUAGCAGACAGCUUCGUUGAGAACAUAAAUAUUAGUGUGGUCAAGGAACCGUGUUUGCAUGG